GAUCCUGGCUCGGGAUGAACGCUGGCGGCGUGCCUAAUACAUGCAAGUCGAACGCGAGCACUUGUGCUCGAGUGGCGAACGGGUGAGUAAUACAUAAGUAACCUGCCCUAGACAGGGGGGAUAACUAUUGGAAACGAUAGCUAAGACCGCAUAGGUACGGACACUGCAUGGUGACCGUAUUAAAAGUGCCUCAAAGCACUGGUAGAGGAUGGACUUAUGGCGCAUUAGCUGGUUGGCGGGGUAACGG
rnacentral:rRNA from 1 species